GACGAACGCUGGCGGCGUGCCUAACACAUGCAAGUCGAACGAGAUCCAUGGGAGCUUGCUCCCGGAAGAUCUAGUGGCGAACGGGUGAGUAACACGUGAGAAACCUGCCCUGGAGUGGGGAAUAACUCGGGGAAACUCGAGCUAAUACCGCAUACCCUCGGAUGGUCGCAUGGCCGACCGAGGAAAGAUUUAUCGCUCUAGGAGGGUCUCGCGGCCUAUCAGCUAGUUGGUGGGGUAACGGCCUACCAAGGCAACGACGGGUAGCUGGUUUGAGAGAACGAUCAGCCACACUGGGACUGAGACACGGCCCAGACUCCUACGGGAGGCAGCAGUGGGGAAUCUUGCGCAAUGGGCGAAAGCCUGACGCAGCAACGCCGCGUGCGGGAUGACGGCCUUCGUGGUUGUAAACCGGCUUUCAGCAGGGACGAAAAGUGACGGUACCUGCAGAAGAAGCCCCGGCUAACUACGUGCCAGCAGCCGCCGGUAAU
rnacentral:rRNA from 1 species